AGUGUUUGAUCCUGGCUCAGAGCGAACGCUGGCGGCGUGCUUAACACAUGCAAGUCGAACGCGUAACUCCCUGUAGCAAUACAGGGGGCGGGCGCGUGGCGAACGGGUGCGUAACACGUGGGUAACCUUCCUUCUUGUGGGGAAUAACCCGCCGAAAGGCGGGCUAAUACCGCAUAACAUCCCAAUCUCUCCGGUGAAUGGGAUCAAAGCCCGCAAGGGUGCAGGAAGAGGGGCCCGCGGCCGAUUAGCUUGUUGGCGAGGUAACGGCUCACCAAGGCAAUGAUCGGUAGCCGGUCUGAGAGGAUGGCCGGCCACACUGGAACUGAGACACGGUCCAGACUCCUACGGGAGGCAGCAGUGGGGAAUCUUGCGCAAUGGGCGAAAGCCUGACGCAGCAACGCCGCGUGGGGGAUGAAGCUUCUCGGAGUGUAAACCCCUUUCGACCCGGACGAACCCCCGCAAGGGAUUGACGGUACGGGUAGAAGAAGCCCCGGCUAACUACGUGCCAGCAGCCGCGGUAAAACGUAGGGGGCCAGCGUUGCUCGGAAUUACUGGGCGUAAAGGGUCCGUAGGCGGUGCGGCAAGUCGGAAGUGAAAUCUCAGGGCUUAACCCUGAGGCUGCUCCCGAAACUGCCGUGCUCGAGUGCGAGAGAGGCGAGUGGAAUUGCAGGUGUAGCGGUGAAAUGCGUAGAUAUCUGCAGGAACAUCCGAGGCGAAAGCGGCUCGCUGGAUCGCAACUGACGCUGA
rnacentral:rRNA from 1 species